UGUGAAGACACAUUUUCAAACACAAAUGGCCAUGCAGAUUUUCAAACACAAUAAAGUUGGUCUUUGAUUAUCAGGUGCGGACAUUUUGCAAGGCCUAAAUGGAAGAAGGUUCUGUCUAAACUGGGUUCCAAGCAUUGCAACGCAAGGAUAGGGGUGUUUUACUGCGGGGCACCGGUUUUGGCUAAAAGCUCAGCAAACUGUGCUACGAGCUGAACCAAAAAGGUUCAACUAAAGUCGAAUUCCAUAAGGAGCAUUUCUAAGCCACGUAUAAGAGGGGAGUAAAUAGCAGCAGCCUCAUCACCCUUAGCCCUAACUCCUUCUUUACCUAGAUAAGUAAGAAUUUUUGCAAUAAAAACAGGAGUCACUGUACAGCCUUGGACUAGAAAAGGAAAUCUACAAGGAAAAAAAAAAGGCAAAUGUAUUUCAUUUUGCUCUCUGUCCCAUCGUAGAAUGCCCUCAAAAAGAGAGACUGAAAUGAUUUUGAUAAAUUGGAUUCAGUCAGCAACAAGAUAAAUAGAGAAGAGGGGAUAAGUGCCGUAUGCUGCGAUGGAGAGGAUGACUUCAGAAUUGAGAGGCUGGGCUGGGCUACCGAUUUGAAUUAUUGGUGGGAUGGAAGAGAUAUAGGUUUUUUUUCUUUUUUUUCUUCUUCUAUUUCCCAAUUUUCAUGUAAAUAUACUAGAAGGAUUGAGGAAAUAGGGGAAAAAGUUCAAAUAAAAUCCUUCUAGUAUCACACCCAAGUAAUAAUAUUAACAUACUAGAUAAUUAUCGAUUUUUUA